UCAAAGGGCGUCUGCUGUGACUGGCAUAGCUGUGGAUGGGGUGUCCUGACACAGCUACGGAAUCACUAUCAACAGAUUUCGGAUGCACAAUUUUUAUAACCCGAGGCUGCCGGUGAUCAUUAUUCAUGGUGCCUCA